GUCGAACGAGUUCUCGUUGAUGAUCGGUGCUUGCACCGAGAUUCAACAUGGAACGAGUGGCGGACGGGUGAGUAACACGUGGGUAACCUGCCCUUAAGUGGGGGAUAACAUUUGGAAACAGAUGCUAAUACCGCAUAGAUCCAAGAACCGCAUGGUUCUUGGCUGAAAGAUGGCGUAAGCUAUCGCUUUUGGAUGGACCCGCGGCGUAUUAGCUAGUUGGUGAGGUAAUGGCUCACCAAGGCGAUGAUACGUAGCCGAACUGAGAGGUUGAUCGGCCACAUUGGGACUGAGACACGGCCCAAACUCCUACGGGAGGCAGCAGUAGGGAAUCUUCCACAAUGGACGCAAGUCUGAUGGAGCAACGCCGCGUGAGUGAAGAAGGCUUUCGGGUCGUAAAACUCUGUUGUUGGAGAAGAAUGGUCGGCAGAGUAACUGUUGUCGGCGUGACGGUAUCCAACCAGAAAGCCACGGCUAACUACGUGCCAGCAGCCGCGGUAAUACGUAGGUGGCAAGCGUUAUCCGGAUUUAUUGGGCGUAAAGCGAGCGCAGGCGGUUUUUUAAGUCUGAUGUGAAAGCCCUCGGCUUAACCGAGGAAGCGCAUCGGAAACUGGGAAACUUGAGUGCAGAAGAGGACAGUGGAACUCCAUGUGUAGCGGUGAAAUGCGUAGAUAUAUGGAAGAACACCAGUGGCGAAGGCGGCUGUCUGGUCUGUAACUGACGCUGAGGCUCGAAAGCAUGGGUAGCGAACAGGAUUAGAUACCCUGGUAGUCCAUGCCGUAAACGAUGAAUGCUAGGUGUUGGAGGGUUUCCGCCCUUCAGUGCCGCAGCUAACGCAUUAAGCAUUCCGCCUGGGGAGUACGACCGCAAGGUUGAAACUCAAAGGAAUUGACGGGGGCCCGCACAAGCGGUGGAGCAUGUGGUUUAAUUCGAAGCAACGCGAAGAACCUUACCAGGUCUUGACAUCUUUUGAUCACCUGAGAGAUCAGGUUUCCCCUUCGGGGGCAAAAUGACAGGUGGUGCAUGGUUGUCGUCAGCUCGUGUCGUGAGAUGUUGGGUUAAGUCCCGCAACGAGCGCAACCCUUAUGACUAGUUGCCAGCAUUUAGUUGGGC
rnacentral:rRNA from 1 species